GCCUAAGUGGUUUAGUGGUUUCUGCACUGGACUACAACUCUAGAGACCAGGGUUCAAAUCCCCACAGAAACA